rnacentral:rRNA from 1 species
CGAACGCUGGCGGCAGGCUUAACACAUGCAAGUCGAGCGCACUCUUCGGAGUGAGCGGCAGACGGGUGAGUAACGCGUGGGAAUCUACCCAUCUCUACGGAAUAACUCAGGGAAACUUGUGCUAAUACCGUAUACGCCCUUCGGGGGAAAGAUUUAUCGGAGAUGGAUGAGCCCGCGUUGGAUUAGCUAGUUGGUGGGGUAAUGGCCUACCAAGGCGACGAUCCAUAGCUGGUCUGAGAGGAUGAUCAGCCACACUGGGACUGAGACACGGCCCAGACUCCUACGGGAGGCAGCAGUGGGGAAUAUUGGACAAUGGGCGCAAGCCUGAUCCAGCCAUGCCGCGUGAGUGAUGAAGGCCCUAGGGUUGUAAAGCUCUUUCAACGGUGAAGAUAAUGACGGUAACCGUAGAAGAAGCCCCGGCUAACUUCGUGCCAGCAGCCGCGGUAAUACGAAGGGGGCUAGCGUUGUUCGGAAUUACUGGGCGUAAAGCGCACGUAGGCGGAUCGUUAAGUGAGGGGUGAAAUCCCAGGGCUCAACCCUGGAACUGCCUUUCAUACUGGCGAUCUUGAGUUCGAGAGAGGUGAGUGGAAUUCCGAGUGUAGAGGUGAAAUUCGUAGAUAUUCGGAGGAACACCAGUGGCGAAGCGGUUACUGGCUCGAUACUGACGCUGAGUGCCAAAGCCUGGGGAGCAAACAGGAUUAGAUCCCUGGAGUCCACGCCGUAAACGAUGAUGUUAGCCGUCGGGCAGUUUACUGGUCGG